rnacentral:rRNA from 1 species
CAGCAGCCGCGGUAAUACGAAGGGUGCAAGCGUUGUUCGGAAUUACUGGGCGUAAAGCGCGCGUAGGCGGUUACUCAAGUCAGAGGUGAAAGCCCGGGGCUCAACCCCGGAACUGCCUUUGAAACUAGGUGACUAGAAUCUUGGAGAGGUCAGUGGAAUUCCGAGUGUAGAGGUGAAAUUCGUAGAUAUUCGGAAGAACACCAGUGGCGAAGGCGACUGACUGGACAAGUAUUGACGCUGAGGUGCGAAAGCGUGGGGAGCAAACAGGAUUAGAUACCCCCGUAGUCCCUGUCUCUUAUAC